rnacentral:rRNA from 1 species
UACGGGGGGAGCAAGCGUUGUUCGGAUUUACUGGGCGUAAAGGGCGCGUAGGCGGUCGUGACAAGUCACUUGUGAAAUCUCCGGGCUUAACUCGGAACGGUCAAGUGAUACUGUCGGACUAGAGUACAGAAGGGGCAACUGGAAUUCUCGGUGUAGCGGUGAAAUGCGUAGAUAUCGAGAGGAACACCGGUGGCGAAGGCGGCAUCCUGGACCGACACUGACGCUGAGGCGCGAAAGCUAGGGUAGCAAACGGG